rnacentral:rRNA from 1 species
GACGAACGCUGGCGGCGUGCUUAACACAUGCAAGUCGAACGGAAAGGCCCUGCUUUUGUGUGGUGCUCGAGUGGCGCACGGGUGAGUAACACGUGAGUAACCUGCCCUUGACUUUGGGAUAACUUCAGGAAACUGGGGCUAAUACCGGAUAGGAGCUCCUGCUGCAUGGUGGGGGUUGGACAGUUUCGGCGGUUGGGGAUGGACUCGCGGCUUAUCAGCUUGUUGGUGGGGUAGUGGCUUACCAAGGCUUUGACGGGUAGCCGGCCUGGGAGGUUGGCCGGCCUCAUUGGGACUGAGAGACGGCCCAGAGUCCUACGGGAGGCAGCAGUGGGGAGUAUUGCACAAUGGGCGGAAGCCUGAUGCGGCAACGCCGCGUGCGGGAUGACGGCCUUCGGGUUGGAAACCGCUUUCGCCUGUUACGAAGCGUGAGUGACGGUAAUGGGUAAAGAAGCACCGGCUAACUACGUG